UACGUAGGGUGCAAGCGUUAAUCGGAAUUACUGGGCGUAAAGCGUGCGCAGGCGGUUGUGCAAGACAGAUGUGAAAUCCCCGGGCUCAACCUGGGAACUGCAUUUGUGACUGCACGGCUAGAGUGUGUCAGAGGGGGGUAGAAUUCCAGGUGUAGCGGUGAAAUGCGUAGAUAUCUGGAGGAAUACCGGUGGCGAAGGCGGCAUCCUGGACCGGCAUUGACGCUGAGGAGCGAAAGCUAGGGGAGCAAACGGG
rnacentral:rRNA from 1 species